GACAGAGGGGGCAAGCGUUGCUCGGAAUUACUGGGCGUAAAGGGCGCGUAGGCGGAAUGGCAAGUCGGUCGUGAAAUCCUUCGGCUCAACCGAAGAACGUCGAUCGAAACUGCCGUUCUUGAGGAUUGCAGAGGAGACUGGAAUUCCCGGUGUAGCGGUGAAAUGCAUUGAGAUCGGAAAGAACACCAACGGCGAAAGCACUCUGCUGGGCCGACACUGACACUGAGAGACGAAAGCUAGGGGAGCAAAUGGG
rnacentral:rRNA from 1 species